ACGAACGCUGGCGGCGUGCCUAAUCCAUGCAAGUAGAACGCACAGUUUAUACCGUAGCUUGCUACACCAUAAACUGUGAGUUGCGAACGGGUGAGUAACGCGUAGGUAACCUGCCUGGUAGCGGGGGAUAACUAUUGGAAACGAUAGCUAAUACCGCAUAAUAUUAAUUAUUGCAUGAUAAUUGAUUGAAAGAUGCAAUUGCAUCACUACCAGAUGGACCUGCGUUGUAUUAGCUAGUAGGUGAGGUAACGGCUCACCUAGGCGACGAUACAUAGCCGACCUGAGAGGGUGAUCGGCCACACUGGGACUGAGACACGGCCCAGACUCCUACGGGAGGCAGCAGUAGGGAAUCUUCGGCAAUAGACGAAAGUCUGACCGAGCAACGCCGCGUGAGUGAAGAAGGUUUUCGGAUCGUAAAGCUCUGUUGUAAGAGAAGAACGGGUGUGAGAGUGGAAAGUUCACACUGUGACGGUAUCUUACCAGAAAGGGACGGCUAACUACGUG
rnacentral:rRNA from 1 species